rnacentral:misc_RNA from 1 species
GAUGAAGAACGUAGCGAAAUGCGAUAAGUAAUGCGAAUUGCAGAAUUCCAGUGAGUCAUCGAAUCUUUGAACGCACAUUGCGCCCCUUGGUAUUCCAUGGGGCAUGCCUGUUCGAGCGUCAUUUGUACCUUCAAGCUUUGCUUGGUGUUGGGUGUUUGUCCUGAGGGACUCGCCUUAAAGUAAUUGGCAGCCAGUGUUUGGUUUUGAAGCGCAGCACAAGUCGCGAUUCAAAGCUAUACGCCCGCUUCCACAAGCCUUUUUCACUUUUGACCUCGGAUCAGGUAGGGAUACCCGCUGAACUUAAGCAUAUCAAUAAGCGGAGGA